rnacentral:lncRNA from 1 species
CAGUGUCUAGGAUAUGUGACUCAGUGGGGGAGACAGCACAUGUUACCUGAAUGAAAAAAGGAAGCGAGCAUCUUUUGUAGAGGGAGGCCAACUGAAAGGGAAACCUAAUGGAAUAUAACACUGUGACUGCUGAAAAGUUUCUGUCAAAUAGGCGUAACAGCUUGUUACGUCUGCUAACAAGCUGUUGAAGACGUAGAGAGAUGAACUACAGUGGGAAAGGCCAUUAGUCCAAUAGAUGUU